rnacentral:rRNA from 1 species
UUGGUACGGGAGGCAGCAGUGAGGAAUCUUCCACAAUGGGCGAAAGCCUGAUGGAGCAACGCCGCGUGCAGGAUGAAGGCCUUCGGGUUGUAAACUGCUUUUAUAAGUGAGGAAUAUGACAGUAACUUAUGAAUAAGGAUCGGCUAACUACGUGCCAGCAGCCGCGGUAAUCCAA